UGGUUGGUAGUGUAGUGGUUUUGUGUACGUAUUGAUAUUGGUAAGACCCGGGUUCAAAUCCCUGGUUCACCAU
rnacentral:tRNA from 1 species